GAGAACCACCAUCAGGCACGGACUGAGAAGGAUGUGGAGGUUUUUGACCAGGUGAGACUGAACAUCGACAAGGCGCAGGAGAAACAGAAGGAGAGCUACCGGAGCAGAAUCAAGAAGGGGACCAAGUGCUACGACAUCCGGGCUAAUUACUUGGUUUGGAAGAAGGACGAAAGGAAGGCGAGACCUGGGAAACCUUGCUGCUCUUUCGCUGCUAGCUGGGGUCACCAUCUGUUAAGGGUUACCUCGGGGA